AUGACCUUUGAAAUUAGUCCUGUGAGGCUGAUAAAGGAAGCUGGUAAGAUAGUGCGCUAUCAAAAUUACUGGGAUAACUGUAUCUAAAAGCAUUUAUAGCUUUCUUGUGCCUCGGCAUGAGAGAGCUUUUUUAAU
rfam:Anaerovibrio lipolyticus strain 5S contig00195, whole genome shotgun sequence.